AUCCCUGUAGCUCCAUGGAUUGUGCGUUGGACUUUUAAUCCAAAUGUCGUGGGUUCAAAUCCUACCUGGGAUG